CCUACGGGAGGCAGCAGUGGGGAAUAUUGGACAAUGGGGGGAACCCUGAUCCAGCGACGCCGCGUGAGUGAAGAAGUAUUUCGGUAUGUAAAGCUCUAUCAGCAGGGAAGAAAGAAAUGACGGUACCUGACUAAGAAGCCCCGGCUAACUACGUGCCAGCAGCCGCGGUAAUACGUAGGGGGCAAGCGUUAUCCGGAUUUACUGGGUGUAAAGGGAGCGUAGACGGCAAUGCAAGCCAGGAGUGAAAGCCCGGGGCCCAACCCCGGGACUGCUCUUGGAACUGCAUGGCUGGAGUACAGGAGGGGCAGGCGGAAUUCCUAGUGUAGCGGUGAAAUGCGUAGAUAUUAGGAGGAACACCAGUGGCGAAGGCGGCUUACUGGACUGUAACUGACGUUGAGGCUCGAAAGCGUGGGGAGCAAACAGGAUUAGAUACCCCUGUAGUC
rnacentral:rRNA from 1 species